GGAGUAUGUCAGAGGGGGGUAGAAUUCCACGUGUAGCAGUGAAAUGCGUAGAGAUGUGGAGGAAUACCGAUGGCGAAGGCAGCCCCCUGGGACAAUACUGACGUUCAUGCCCGAAAGCGUGGGUAGCAAACAGGAUUAGAUACCCUGGUAGUCCACGCCCUAAACGAUGUCGAUUAGCUGUUGGGGCACUUGAUGCCUUAGUAGCGUAGCUAACGCGUGAAAUCGACCGCCUGGGGAGUACGGUCGCAAGAUUAAAACUCAAAGGAAUUGACGGGGACCCGCACAAGCGGUGGAUGAUGUGGAUUAAUUCGAUGCAACGCGAAGAACCUUACCUGGUUUUGACAUGUACGGAACCUUUCGGAGACGGAAGGGUGCCUUCGGGAGCCGUAACACAGGUGCUGCAUGGCUGUCGUCAGCUCGUGUCGUGAGAUGUUGGGUUAAGUCCCGCAACGAGCGCAACCCUUGUCAUUAGUUGCCAUCAUUUGGUUGGGCACUCUAAUGAGACUGCCGGUGACAAGCCGGAGGAAGGUGGGGAUGACGUCAAGUCCUCAUGGCCCUUAUGACCAGGGCUUCACACGUCAUACAAUGGUCGGUACAGAGGGUAGCCAAGCCGCGAGGCGGAGCCAAUCCUAUAAAACCGAUCGUAGUCCGGAUUGCACUCUGCAACUCGAGUGCAUGAAGUCGGAAUCGCUAGUAAUCGCAGGUCAGCAUACUGCGGUGAAUACGUUCCCGGGUCUUGUACACACCGCCCGUCACACCAUGGGAGUGGGGGAUACCAGAAGUAGGCAGGCUAACCGCGAGGAGGCCGCUUACCACGGUAU
rnacentral:rRNA from 1 species